UGGGGAAUAUUGCACAAUGGGCGCAAGCCUGAUGCAGCCAUGCCGCGUGUGUGAAGAAGGCCUUCGGUUGUAAGCACUUCAGCGAGGAGGAAGGUGGUGAACUUAAUACGUUCAUCAAUUGACGUUACUCGCAGAAGAAGCACCGGCUAACUCCGUGCCAGCAGCCGCGGUAAUACGGAGGGUGCAAGCGUUAAUCGGAAUUACUGGGCGUAAAGCGCACGCAGGCGGUUUGUUAAGUCAGAUGUGAAAUCCCCGGGCUCAACCUGGGAACUGCAUUGAAACUGGCAAGCUAGAGUCUCGUAGAGGGGGGUAGAAUUCCAGGUGGUAGCGGUGAAAUGCGUAGAGAUCUGGAAGGAAUACCGGUGGCGAAGGC
rnacentral:rRNA from 1 species